UGGGGAAUUUUGGACAAUGGGGGCAACCCUGAUCCAGCCAUUCCGCGUGAGUGAAGAAGGCCUUCGGGUUGUAAAGCUCUUUCGGCCGGGAAGAAAUCGUGCGGGCCAAUACCCUGUAUGGAUGACGGUACCGGAAGAAGAAGCACCGGCUAACUACGUGCCAGCAGCCGCGGUAAUACGUAGGGUGCGAGCGUUAAUCGGAAUUACUGGGCGUAAAGGGUGCGCAGGCGGUUUUGUAAGACAGGUGUGA
rnacentral:rRNA from 1 species